AAGGAGAACCUGGACUGAUUGUUGCUUUGCACCUUCCUGGAACUUGGUGAUUGUUUGUCAGUUUCACCCAAAAGCUUGGCCAAAUUCUGGGAUGUUAAUGUGUUGUCCCACAUAUUGAAGUCCAUUGACAAUAUAUUUGAGAUUAUGCUAUUCUCACCGUUAUCUACAAAACCAUUGCUAUUGGCAUUCCGUAUGUCACCAGAU
rnacentral:misc_RNA from 1 species